rnacentral:rRNA from 1 species
GACGAACCGUGCGAACGUUGUUCGGAAUCACUGGGCUUAAAGGGCGCGUAGGCGGGCUGUCAAGUCCGGGGUGAAAUCCUCCAGCUCAACUGGAGAAUGGCCUCGGAUACUGAUGGUCUCGAGGAGGAUAGGGGCACACGGAACUGUGGGUGGAGCGGUGAAAUGCGUUGAUAUCCACAGGAACUCCGGUGGCGAAAGCGGUGUGCUGGAUCCUUUCUGACGCUGAUGCGCGAAAGCCAGGGGAGCAAAGCGGGGAUUAAGAAACCCCA